rnacentral:lncRNA from 1 species
AUGAUAAUCUUGAAAGAAAUCAGAUAUGAAAAUACCUGUAGCUAUAUGAGGCUGCCUUGUCCAUACAACUGUUGUCAUAGCUCUUUGGCACAGCAAGGUGUGCACGUGUGUCCUCUCCAGCCAUGCACCUGGACUCUGAGUCGCUGGACAUCCCUUUUCCACCAGUCUUGAACAAACCCAGAGGUAUAGCACAGGGAGAGAGCCCACAACAUACAGAAAGAAUUUAGCCUGGAUGCAUGGAAUAAAAUAAGAUGAAGAAUUAAAUUGGGGAACCUGAUGGAACUGUUAAGUGUGAUUACGGCACGGAAAUCACAAGAUUCCACCAAAGAAAAUGAAACAAUACGCUCUGCAGAAGACUUUCAACCUCACUUUAGAGCUCUGGUUAGUGGACUGAAGUGAUUUCCUUGCAAAUACAUGUACGAGAAUAAAUUUAAUGAAAAGAGAUAAGGAACAUUCUACAUAUUCCUUACAAGGUUCCGUGGGUUGAAUAAAAGGGUUAAUAAAGUCCUCUUCAAGAAAAGAAUGAUUACGGAUCUUUCUUCAUCCUUUUAAAGAAACAUUAUUAUGUAGAAAAUUUGGACAACAAACAAGUAUCAAAAUGAUUCUUAAAAAUUAUAAUUAUAUUAUGUGG